CACGUAGGGCGCGAGCGUUGUCCGGAAUUAUUGGGCGUAAAGAGCUCGUAGGCGGCCUGUUGCGUCCGCUGUGAAAGCCCCGGGGCUUAACCCCGGGUCGGCAGUGGAUACGGGCAGGCUAGAGGUAGGUAGGGGAGAAUGGAAUUCCCGGUGUAGCGGUGAAAUGCGCAGAUAUCGGGAGGAACACCGGUGGCGAAGGCGGUUCUCUGGGCCUUACCUGACGCUGAGACGCGAAAGCGUGGGGAGCGAACAGG
rnacentral:rRNA from 1 species